UAACUGGAGGGCUUUCUCCUGUCUUUGC
rnacentral:sRNA from 1 species